rnacentral:rRNA from 1 species
GUGGGGAAUUUUGGACAAUGGGCGAAAGCCUGAUCCAGCAAUGCCGCGUGCAGGAUGAAGGCCCUCGGGUUGUAAACUGCUUUUGUACGGAACGAAAAGCCUGGGGCUAAUAUCCCCGGGUCAUGACGGUACCGUAAGAAUAAGCACCGGCUAACUACGUGCCAGCAGCCGCGGUAAUACGUAGGGUGCAAGCGUUAAUCGGAAUUACUGGGCGUAAAGCGUGCGCAGGCGGUUUUGUAAGACAGUGGUGAAAUCCCCGGGCUCAACCUGGGAACUGCCAUUGUGACUGCAAGGCUAGAGUGCGGCAGAGGGGGAUGGAAUUCCGCGUGUAGCAGUGAAAUGCGUAGAUAUGCGGAGGAACACCGAUGGCGAAGGCAAUCCCCUGGACCUGUACUGACGCUCAUGCACGAAAGCGUGGGGAGCAAACAGGAUUAGAAACCCUGGUAGUCC